GGUGUGUUUAUAUAUGGUGUGUGUGUAUGUGCGUGUGCGUGUGGUAUAAGUGUGUGUGUGUGUGGUGUGUUUGUAUACGGUGUAUGUAUAUGUGUAUGUGUGUAUGUCGGGUGUGUGUGUGUGUGUGUGUGUGUGUGUGUGUGUGUGUGUACACAAAGGCCAGAGGACAACGUCAGUCAGGUAUCACUAUGUACCUUACUUCGUUGUGACAAGACCUCUCAAUGAGCCUGCUGCUCCCCGUAUUUUGACUGGCUAGAUAAAGCCCAGCUGAUUGGUUUGUCCAUUCUCCCAGCACUGGGGUUCCAGGCCAGUGUGCCCAUAUCGAACUUUUAUAAGCUUUUUUUAUAGCCUUUUUAAAAAGUUUUAUUAAUUUUUAUUCUAUAUGUAUUGGUACUUUUCCAUGCAUGUAUGGCCGUGUAGCACUUCUGUGCCUGAGGCCUGGAGGCCAGAAGAGGUCAAAUUCCCGGGAACUGGAGUUAGAAAUGUUUUGAGCCACCAUGUGGGUGCUGGGAACUGAACCUAAGGUCUCUGCCUGAACAACAAGUACUGUCGAUCACUGAGCCAUCUCUCCAGCCUUGUGCCCAAACUUUACAUGGGUUCUGAGGCUCUGAACUCAAAUCCUCAUACUCCGAUAGCAAGCACUCUUACCCACCGAACGAUGUCCACAGUCCUGUUUCUCUUCUUCUAAAAAAAUUUACUUGUUUUUAUUUACACGUGCGUUGGUAUUCUGUCUGCUUGUAUGUCUGUGUGAGGUGUCAGAGUCUCUGGAACUGGAGUUAUGGGUGGUUGUGAGCUGCUCUGAGAAUCGAACCCAGUCCUCUGUGAGAGCAGCAAGUGCUCUAGGCUACUGAGCCAUCUCUUUGAUCUCAUUAAUAAAAUAAUUUGAGAACAGUCUUAUUAGAGUUUAGAACAAGUUCCGCCUCCCCCACCCUCCCCACCCCCGAGGGGCAGGCAGGAUGUAAACUUCAGCAGGUUCCAGAGGAAGAUUACAGGGAAAGGGGAUCUCUGGGUUAGGGCAGCUCUGAAGUCAGCCACAGAGCCAGAGGGGGCUGUGGAGAAAGCUGGGACAGGGAAAGGCUGCUUAGAGAGGAGACACCUGCAUGUCUGUGGCUCUGCAAAUGACCUCAUUAGGCUGUGCUUUCUGGGAAGGAAAAGUGCAUUACCUCCCUGAAGGUGUAAUUAUUCUCCCCGUCUCCUUAGCCUGGCUUAGCGAAAGCCUAUCUCCCUAAGGGGUGGUCCCUUAGGCAACUGAUUAUUUAACCUACCUGGAAUGUUGGGUCUCCAAGCAAGUCAAGAAUUCCAUUUCUUGACCAGAGGGAAAGAGCUCUCCUUUAGUGGGCCUCCAAUUCUACUGUAACAUCACCAUGUGGCCCAGACUUGCCUCAAACUCCCAAUGCUCCUGCUGAAAUUCUGGAAGAUUGCCACCUUACCUGUCAGCCCCCUCACCACCACCACCACUCUCCCCUGAAACCAGGGUCCCCUUUAGCCAGGCUAAAACUUGCUAUGUAACAGAAGUCACUGGUCUCAGAUUCCUUCUGGAGCCCAGGCGGGUCUUCCAGUUUCCAGAGUGCUGUGAGUAUGGGUGAGCUCUACCACACAGGACAUUGGUGGAGACGGAGGUGGAGGCUGGGGUGACAGUGGUGGCUGUGGUGGUGGGGAUGGUUGUGUUACUAUUGUUCUUCUUCCUAUGUUUUAUGAGCAUAUAUUGUACAAAACAAUACAUUGCUUUGUUAGAUUUCCAUGCAAACUUUAGCCAAAUGACUGUAAACGUCUCCUCAACUUGAGUCUGAGUCCUUCCCUCACUCUGCCAGCCUCCUCUCAACUUUAACAGGUUUUUUUGUUUUUUGGGUUUUUUUGUUUUGUUUUGUUGUUGUUUUUGUGGACUCCACAUUUGAAAGAAGGUGAGACUUCUUUUCUGGCUAUUUCCUCUAACACAAUGACCUCCAGUUUCAUCAAUUAUUCUUCAAAAGACAUGAUUUGUUUCUUCUUUCUGGUGGAAUAAUACUUCAUGUUAUUUUUAUAGGACUUAAACAAAAGACUAGUCGGAAACUAGGUACAAGUCACGCCAGGAUCGUUGUCAGUUUAGGGAAUAAAUCUCUCUUGUAAAUUAAUUUCUGUUCCUUUCAGUGGGGCAUCAGUUCAUACAUUUCUGUAGUGUCAGGAAGACAUCUUGUUAUACUGUUUGUUUUGUGUUUGUUUGAAGCAGGGUCUUUCUAUGUAGGUUGGCCUGGAACUCAGUAUGUAGACUAGAGUGGCCUUGAACACACAGGGAUCUACCUGCCUCUGCCUCCUGAGUUCUGAAUAAAAAUGACCUAAAACAAGGUCUUUUUAAAGGGUAUUUGUAGUUGUUUCUUCCCCCCCUUGGAUCCACUGUUAUCCACUGGCGAGUCAGGUAUGAAGAAAGGGACAGGAUUACAUUUUCACCUGGCCUGGCUUUGCUGUGGCCCCUUGGUCCCAAACCUUGCUCCCCUCCCCUCUUCGGUAGCCAGGGGCAGGCUUUGCCUAGAAAGGGAUGCUUGAGUACUGAAGGAGCCCUAUUUGGGGCUUAACAGUCAUCACAAAGGCCUCCUGGGGGGUUGUAAAAUGCUUUCUUCGCCAGGGCCUCCUUUGAUCCCUGCACUCCCACUGAGGCUGGGUUUAACAAUGGUCCUCUAGCCUAGUUCUAACCCAUUCCGGAUUACAUUUAAGCACUUUUGAGCUGACAAUGGCUAACCCUAGCAGCUUGGGCAGGGAGAUACUGUUACAAAGGAAAGCAGUCCUUAACUCUGCAAGUGACCAAGCAGCCCAGCAGCUCCAGUGUAGUUCCUUCCCACCUACACCCCCCUCCCCCAGGCACCCCAGUUCCCUCAGCCCUCCAGGCGUCUUCCUUUAUCUCAUCUACUGCUCAAUACCUUUCAACGCCAACCAUUGUCCCUCCCACUAUUCAGGAUGCCCCACCUGUUUUCUUAUUCCCUCUUACUGUGGCCAGCUCUCCAUCCUCUCGGUGCCGCUCUUAGCCAACUCCUUGAAGGUCAAAGGUUACUAUGGCAGUGGGAGGGCUCUAGUAAUGCUUUCUUUACCCUGGCCAGAGAAUUGGCCUGUUCUGUAGAUUCAAGUCUGCUUUCGUUAAGUUCUCCCUUCCAGAGCACACGGGUCUGGAUCUGACCCAAACACCUCAGGCUAGUGGAGUUGGGGGAGGGCACAAAUCCAGGACAACUUUGUGAGCUAUUUGACUAUGACAAAAUCACUCAAGUGUCUCCUGUCUCCGUCACCUUAUUAUCCGGAGCUGGAAAUAAAGAAAACGCGUGCAUCUCCGCAGUCUUUGGUGAAAACAAAAGCAGAUAAUGGCGCACGUACCUGAAAGUCAGUGCUGGGAGGAAGGACCGCUCCCAUGUCAGUUUAGAAACACAUGGAGACAGUCUGAACACCUCGCUCGCUCCUGUGGUGGUAAACAUUUCUCUGUUCUACCGAUGAGCCCGUGGGAGGCCUUUGGUGCCGGUGCCAGUCAGCGUUCACGGAGACCUGCUUGCAUGGCUGACUGAUCCCGGAGUUAUUUUCUCCUUCCCUAUCCCAGGCUCCCUAGGAAUAAUGCUUACAGUGGCUAAUUCCUGCUCUCCUCUCUCUGCCUCCCAUUGUUAUUUUGGUUUGUUUGGUUGUUUGUUUGGUUUGGUUGUUUGGUUGCUUUUUCAAGACAGGGUUUCUCCUGGAACUUGCUCUGUAGACCAGGCUGAUUUCUUUUAUUUUUUUAUUUAUUUAUUUUAUAUAUGUCAAUACACUGUCACUCUCUUCAGACACACCAGAAAGAGGGCACAGGAUCCCAUUACAGACGAUUGUGAGCCACCAUGUGGUUGCUGGGAAUUGAACUCAGGACCUCUGGAAGAGCAGCCAGUGCUCCCAACUGCUGAGCCAUCUCUCCAGCCCCAGGCUUGUUUCUUAACUCACAGAGAUCCCCCUGCUUCUGCCUCCCUACUGGCAGGAUUAAUGGCACGCACCACCACCGCCCCUCUCCCACUGGUUUUAUCUCCUCCCUAACAUGAUCUUUCAAGGGGGCCAUCUGUAUUUCCUUCUCCAAGCGUUAAAUUCCAGGGCAAAUUCCAAUAUCUCAGGGACUAUUGUUUCAAUAAUCUGAUAGUCGAAGACACACAAGUAGUGUCUCUUUAGAAUAUCUUUCUUUAGUCCUGCCAGGAUGGGUACAAUGUCACAUCUUGUUCUCGUGGUUUACUUAUCCCCCUCUGCUAGACAGUGAGGAAGAAAAAUAUGAUAUUGUUCUAUCUGGCCAUCUGGGGGCAUUGCUCUGUCCAAGUCUGACUGUGGAUCACAUGUUGCUGAGUACUGGGGAAGGCCUGAGAUUUUGAGAAAGACUUCUACCUUCUGUGACCCUGACCUCUCCUAAUUUAGCCUGUGAUUAGAGCCCCCCUACAACUAAGGAUGGUAUCAUGGUAUCUGUGUGUAUGCAUGUGUAACUGUCAGGCCAUGUAACAAAGACCACUCAAUUGGAAUGUGUGUUACCAUGGAAGGGAAAGGGUGGGGGGACUACACUGUAGAGGGAAAAUAACCAAUGCACCAGUGCAGCCUAUGUUAGGGGACUAGCCUUUGAAUGUGAACUCGCUGAGCUAAUGUAGACAAAACAAAAACCUAGAGUGGAGGUCUCUGAAUUGACCUCAGGCAGGAGUAAAGUGUUUGCUGAACAACCAUGCAGACCUGGGUUUGGAUCCCCAGUAUCCAGUAACACUGGGGCAACAGAGCAGAGAAAGGCAGAUGCCAGUAGGGUUGAGUGUCCCCCUAGGCCAGCUCCAAUGCCAAGUUUUGGGUUAAAUGAGACGUCUCCAUCUCUAUUAAGGUGAGAAGUUGGAGAGAGAUUGUUUGGUGGUUAAGAACACACGUUAUUUCAAAGAGCUAGAGUUUGUUUCCCAGCACCCAAGCUGGUGGCUCACGGUGGUAAUUGUGACUUUAAGGAGACCACGAAAUGUCCAUGUGCACAUACUAAAUAAGACGAAGAGUAAUAGAAGACACCUGAAGCUGACCUCUGGCUUCUAUAGAUAUACACACACACACAGGUGAGCAGGAGCAGUGCACACACAAGCAUAACACACACACACACACACACACACAAAGACGGAGACGGAGACAGAGACAGAGAACAACUCAGGCCAUUGCGUGGGGCAGCCCUACGACCUACCACUGUUAAGAGUAUCGUGGGGCUGGGGAUUUAGCUCAGUGGUAGAGCGCUUACCUAGGAAGCGCAAGGCCCUGGGUUCGAUCCCCAGCUCCGAAAAAAAGAACCAAAAAAAAAAAAAAAAAAGUAUCGUAAGAGGGGUUGGAGAUUUAGCUCAGUGGUAGGACGCUUGCCUAGCAAGUGCAAGGCCCUGGGUUCGGUCCCCAGCUCCAGAAAAACAAACAAUAAAAAAAAGAGUAUCGUAAAUUAGUUUUAUUUCCAUCUCAUUUUAAGGUAAACUAAGGCACUGAAAGACAGUCUUCUCCAAGACAGUUCUGAAAUGGGACAACAGAGUCCACGUCCUUGUCUGACUGCUUGUCCGUUUGAGAAUAAGGAUGUGGCAUGAGACUCAGAGGCCUGAGGGAAGCCUGGAAAAGUCGAGACCUGAGCCAUAAAGCACCCAGCAGUGAUCGCAGCUCAGGCGGUGUGGUGUGAUCGCCCUGGCAGCAGCUGAAUGAGCUGCAGCCGCCGCGGCUCUCGGCUGAGAACAGCGCCAUCUAGCGAAGCCUAGGACUCAGCACCGAGCCGAUGAUGUCACUGCCAAGAGGCAUGCCGGGAAGGCAUGCCUGGAACACAGGACAGGCACAGAAGAGGAACUGGAGAGCCACCAGAGGCUCACCUAUGUGCACAUGCCCGAGCAGGUUUCUUCUGUGUGGCCCUGAAUGUCCUGAAACUCUCUCUCUGUAGACCAGGCUGCCCUUGAACUCAGAGAUCUGCCUGCUUCUGCUUCCCUAGUACUGGGAUUAAAGGUACGUGCCACCACUUCCCUACUUGGAGAUUUUUAAAUUAAAUUUAGCAAUUACACUUAUUUAUUUACUACUGUGUGUGUGUGCUAGCCUUGUGUGUGUUAGCGCUUGCCUUCUAACGUGUAAGAUCUGGGAUCAAACUCAGGACUCAGGUUGUCAGGCUUAGUAUAAGCACUUUUACAUAUUGAGCCUUCUUUCUGCACUCUCCUGCUCUGAGCCUCCUCUUGUAGUCCGUGGCUUUUCCGAAAGUUGCCAUGUAGCCAAGAAGUUCAAGGAUGAACUUAAACUUUUAAUUCUGGCUUGUAAUGUAUAUAUGCAUUAUAUACAUUCAUGCAAAUAUGAGUAAAACCAUUAUUUAAAAAAAACUAUUAGACAGGAGGCAAAGAGGGGGUAGAGGUGCUAAGGAAGUGGGGGAAGGGCAGAGGAGCCUUGUGAAGCAUGAAGUGAAAGUAGCCCAGCCUGUAGGGCAGUUACAGGAAAGGGUAGGAGGAGAGAGGGAACUGGGAGAUGCUGGGGCAGAGAAUCUGCUAAACACACUCUGCUGGCAUUGUGAAACCUGACCUGAGUUAUCUACCAGUGAGGACCCCUCAGACACUGGUUUAAGCCAAUACACAGUCUCUAUUAGUUGACUGGCAACUACACUGGAUGUUUGGUAACCCAGUGUUGCCUCAAACCUUUCCCAGGGUGAGCUUUGUAAAUGAAUUAUUUGUUCUAGCUAGCCAGUAUGACAGACACAGAAACCUGGUAUUUUAUUUACAAGCUCUAAGCCUAGACUGGGCAGGUUCUAAGCUAUCCUCACCUGUCUCCAAGGCACUUGUUAGUUGCUGUUUGAGUCUCACCCAGGCUGCUUCUGCUUUACCAGCCUGUCGUCAGGACACUUCUCCUGGCCACACGAUCAUAAUCUACUCUUGUUUUCUCUGUCUUCCUUCUCCUCUGUGGUUUCUCUUGAGGUCCCGCCUUCCUCUCUCUCUCUCUCUCUCUCUCUCUCUCUCUCUCUCUCUCUCUCCUGUCAAUCACAGGCUCUAGCCUUUUAUUGCCCAAUAGCUUUAAAUUGGGGAGCUGAGGUUUAUAGAGCAAAGGCUGGUGUACACGAGAAUGCACUCAUCUGGAUGGCAACCAGGUCUUGGGGUUGAGAAUUUGUACACAGAACAGCAGACCAACCCACAACAGAGCUUUCAAGCACAAAAACCAUCUCCUGAGCUGAUGUUCUUCUGCUAUCAAGAACAGUUAGGGGAACUACGGAAGCCUGAAAGCAAGGUUAAUAUGUUUAGAGACUUUCCCAGAACAAUGGACUUUGAUGGGUUGGGUCCCUAUGUUCAUUUUGCAGGUGGUGCUGUCCACACUCGGAGUUUUAUGGUUCGAAUGGUGCUUCCGUCACGGCAUCAGUUGUGCUACGGUCUGGGAGCCUGACAAAACCCAACACCUUGAAUGAUAACUCAAAAAAUUAAAACCCCCACAUGGUCUCAAAAGAAAAUCUAGGAAAGGCAGAAGUUAGAGGUUAGAGGAGAGCUGUAUGGAGAAAGAAUAGAGACUUGCUCAGGGGAGCAGGGUUUCUUCUAAACGUUACAACCAUGGAGUGCGUAAUUACACCUGGCAAAGGUCACGCAGCUAGAGAGACAGAAGUCAGACUGAGUCACAGGUCCACCAGGUCCUAAGAGUAAAACUUCCCCAGUGGUGAUUUCCUCCCAGGAUUAGGUGAUGCUGAGACUGUGUGGGCCAGAGAGGCUCUGAGAGGCCAGAGGGACCAGGCACGACACGUGUCGGGGUAAAGCUCCCUCUGAAUGGAUAAAUGAGAGACAUCUUCCAAGAGCAUCAGUGAUGAGUGUUGGAGAAGACAAGAACUGGCUGGGAAAUAGAGAUAAGGACCUGUUCAGACCAGCACUUAUGGAUGUCUGGACAGAAGAAGCAACUACAAAGAGGGCGAGAGAGUAACAGUCUGUAUGCCAGACAGCAACUCAAAGCUAACCGACCUCCAGGGCCUUUGACCUUCUCCUCGACUGAUGAGAGCUAAUCACAAAUAUAUACUCUUUGCCUGUCUGUAAAGCUUCUCUAUCUACAUGUGGAGGACAGUCUCACGAAAGCUCGGUCACUUGAUUUUCCCAGGGCUCGGCCUCAGUAUCCUCGUCAGCUCCCCCAACCUCUUGUGUCACUGACGAGGUCAGAGAUUUGGUUGUAUCCCCAGUGUUCGGAAGCCCUGUCUUCCAGGAUUGUGUCUGUGUCUGUCUUCUGUUGCUAAAAGCACAAUGCAGACUGGAUAGGCUACAACGAAAGCAGCUAUAUUUCAAUUUGUAAUUCUGGUGCAAGGCCAAAAGGCCUCACUCAGUAUUAACUUUCUUGCAGGCAAAAUACCAAGGAAGGGCAUUAUGUGGCCGAAGACAAGUAAUUAUGUAUGUACAUAUGUAUAUAUGUAUGUAUGUAUGUAUGUACAUACGUAUGUAUUUUGGAUUUAUGACAGGUUCUUAUUCAGUCUGGGCUGUCCCAAACUCACUAUUUAUCCAAGAAAGACCUUGAACUCUCAGUUUCCACUCUCCAAGGGCUGGAACUACAGGAGUGUACCACUGUGCCUGGCUGAGGCAAGAGAAAGUAGUGUGUAUCUUCACUGCUCCUUUCUUCUUAUAAAUCCACCAGUAUUAGAUAACAGAUGCUCCACCAUAAUGACUUCUUUAACCCCAAUCACUCCCAAAAUGCCUCGUCUUUGUGAACCAUGGUUGGACUAAGUACCCAAUCCUGGAAUGGAAACCACAUUCAGACCAUGCAGCCUAUUGUGGGACAUUCUUUUGGACAUCUUUGAAUGUAAUUGAGGCAAAAUAAGCUCACUGGGUAGAGCGCUAAUGCCAUCUAACAGGGUCCAUAGGAAAAGAAACGCUAGGUAAAGACAGAUGCGGGCAGUGCAACAGGUGAGGACGGAGGUAGACAUUCAGUUCCCGCCCCAAGGCCUGCUAGAGGUGAAGGAGGCAAGGAGAGUCUUUUGGAGCCCUCAGACACUUUGGUCCUGGCUACCAAGCUUUAGAGAGAAUAAUGUUGUGUUGUUUGUUUGGUUUGGUUUUGUUUGACAGAGGAUUUCUUGGUGUAGCCCUAGCUGUCCUAGAACUCCUUUUGUAGACCAGCCUGGCCUUGAACUUAGAGAUCCACCUGCCUCUGCCUCCCCAGUGCUGGGAUCAAAGGAAUGAGCCACCGCCACCAGGCUGAGAGAAUACACUGUUUUAUGACACUUGGUUAUGGCAGCCUCGGAGAGUAGACACAUGCUCUCCUGCACAUUUUCAUCACGUUUCCAUCCUCCACUGGCCAAGACCCAACUGACCCCAGGCUUAUACCUCUCCUUUCAGAAUGUCUUAUCCCUGCUGUCCUCAUCUCUCUCAUGGGGCUUCCAAAUUUAGCUUAAACGACACAUGUGCAAUAAGUCUAGACCUGGGCAUUCUGGUUGCCUACCAGAGCAGCAAGUCAAGUGCAUCUUUGGUAGCACUCGUCAUGUGUGUAGUCAAAUACUUACUUGGACAGCUAUGCUAUGCUACCCAUUUGCCCUGCUUGGUUGUGGAUGCCAGUUCAAGGCCUGGCUUAGUAGAUUCACCAGCAGACCUGUUCAUGAAUAGCAUAGUCUCUCAGAUGAUGCCCUGCGUGCGAUGCAGCACGUGCGAUGGGCAGCCCGGCAGCGAGCUGUGCAUCUGUAAUCCCACUCUUGGGAGGUAGGGGCAGGAGAAGCAGGGGUUCAAGGUUAUCCCUGGCUAUAUCUUGAGUUUGAAGACAGCCUGGGCUACACGAGAUCCUGUCUCCAAAAUAAAACAAAAGUAACCCCUGGCAGGAACCGCUGGCAGGAUGUUUAAGGGACCAGGCAACGGAAACUUGCCCUUCAGUAUCUCUCCUGCUCACUGCACAGAAACUUCUGCUGUAAUCAGUCCAGGCUGAUUGUAGACCACAACCCAUUCACCAGGUCCUGCUGGCUUCUCUCUCUCCUUGGUCUCCACCGUUCCCUGCAUCACACUGUUCCUAAGGUACAGUACCUUCUGUAACAUGCAUGCACACUGCCCAGAACAGUGGACAGAGCAAGCAGAAAGCAGUGACCAGAUGGAAGUGAUAUCAAGAGGUUUUCAUCUAACUAGAUAUUGAAAACAAGACAAAUAACUAGCGUGUCAAUUAAUUAAUUAAUUAAC